rnacentral:misc_RNA from 1 species
GAUGAAGAACGUAGCGAAAUGCGAUAAGUAGUGUGAAUUGCAGAAUUCAGUGAAUCAUCGAAUCUUUGAACGCACAUUGCGCCCCUUGGUAUUCCAUGGGGCAUGCCUGUUCGAGCGUCAUUUGUACAUUCAAGCUUUGCUUGGUGUUGGGUGUUUGUCUCGCCUUUGCGUGUAGACUCGCCUUAAAAUAAUUGGCAGCCGGCGUAUUGAUUUCGGAGCGCAGUACAUCUCGCGCUUUGCACUCAUAACGACAGCGUCCAAAAGUACAUUUUACACUCUUGACCUCGGAUCAGGUAGGGAUACCCGCUGAACUUAAGCAUAUCAAUAAGCGGAGGA